CGACGAGUGAUGAUUCAUUGAAAAUUCGAAGUAUCUUUAUUCCAUGUGAAGAGUUAUUUUUUAUCAGUAGACUAUGUUCCUAUGUACGGACUCAUAGAUAAUGAAAUUGAGAAUGGAAAUGAGGAAUGUGUCAAAGAGACAACAACCCGACCAUAGAGCAGAAAAAAACCGAGGACCACCAACACAGCGAGAAAAUCCCACACCCAGAGUCGUCCUACAGCUGGCCUCUUAACAAAUAUGUAUACUAGUUCAGUGAUAAUGGUCGUCAUACUAAACUCCGAAUUAUACAAAAGAAACUUAAAAUAAAGAUCAUACAAGACUAACAAAGAACAGAGGUUCCUUACUUUGGACAGGCGCAAAAAUGCGGCGGGGCUUAACAUGUUUAUUAAGAUCCCAACUCUCCCUCUAUACCUCUACCCAAUGUAGAAAAAACAAACGCACAACAACACGCAUAGUAAAACUCAGUUUAAGAGAAGUCUGAGUCCGAUGUCAGAAG
rnacentral:lncRNA from 1 species